UACGUAGGCAGCGAGCGUUGUUCGGAGUUACUGGGCGUAAAGGGUGUGUAGGCGGUCCUCUAAGUUUGGUGUGAAAUCUCCCGGCUCAACCGGGAGGGUGCGCCGAAAACUGGGGGACUAGAGUGCGGGAUGGGAGAGUGGAAUUCCUGGUGUAGCGGUGAAAUGCGUAGAUAUCAGGAGGAACACCGGUGGCGAAGGCGGCUUCCUGGACCGACACUGACGCUGAGGCGCGAAAGCUAGGGGAGCAAACGGG
rnacentral:rRNA from 1 species